GAAUUUUCGGAGGAGUCCUGUCUGCUUACUAAAGCACGCAGUAGGGCAGGAGCCUGGAGUGGUGCUCAGAACCUAAGGAAAAAUGCUGAAGAUAAAAAUGGGCACAGGAUUUAUGUUUAUCAACAACAACCACAAGUCCGACAACCCCAGACUCCGCUUGGUUUAUUUGUACUGAGAUCUGAAUAAGAAGCCAUUCUAAUGUGGUCCUGGAGGACAGUAGCGGAGGAAAAUACUUCC